rnacentral:ncRNA from 1 species
AAUAAAGCUAUGACUGGAACGAGUAGGGCGUUUAAGAGCAGUGUCAGCGAAUUAGGGUUUUGGUGUGAGCCUAAUCUCUGCAGCGUACCGAAUAUCCCCCAGGAGCGUCUCUUGAAAUGAGUAGGGAGAAACGGGUCAUGCCGUUACACAUGAUCGAGUGAAGAAGCUCUGUUCGACUCGCCUUUAGGCGCGUGUUCAUGAUGCUUUUUAACGAGGGUGGUACCGCGAGUUGAGUUUCUCGUCCCUUUU